AUUGAACGUUGGCGGCACGCCUAAUACAUGCAAGUCGAACGAGAAAGCACCUCGGUGUGAGUACAGUGGCGGACGGGUGAGUAACGCGUAGGAAUCUACCCAGUAGUGGGGGACAACUAGUGGAAACGCUAGCUAAUACCGCAUACGCCCUACGGGGGAAAGCGGGGGACCUUAGGGCCUCGUGCUAUUGGAUGAGCCUGCGUAAGAUUAGCUUGUUGGUGAGGUAAAGGCUCACCAAGGCGACGAUCUUUAGCUGGUCUGAGAGGACGAUCAGCCACAUUGGGACUGAGACACGGCCCGGACUCCUACGGGAGGCAGCAGUCGGGAAUAUUGCGCAAUGGGCGAAAGCCUGACGCAGCCAUGCCGCGUGUGUGAAGAAGGCCCUAGGGUUGUAAAGCACUUUCAAUUGGGAGGAAAAGCUAAUGGUUAAUAACCAUUAGCCCUGACGUUACCUUUAGAAGAAGCACCGGCUAACUCCGUGCCAGCAGCCGCGGUAAUACGGAGGGUGCAAGCGUUAAUCGGAAUUACUGGGCGUAAAGCGCGCGUAGGCGGUUUUUUAAGUCGGAUGUGAAAGCCCCGGGCUCAACCUGGGAACUGCAUCCGAUACUGGAAGACUAGAAUGCGGGAGAGGGAGGUAGAAUUCCAUGUGUAGCAGUGAAAUGCGUAGAUAUAUGGAGGAAUACCAGUGGCGAAGGCGGCCUCCUGGCUCGACAUUGACGCUGAGGUGCGAAAGCGUGGGGAGCAAACGGGAUUAGAUACCCCGGUAGUCCACGCCGUAAACGAUGUCUACUAGCUGUAGGGGUACUUGAGACCUUUGUAGCGCAGCUAACGCAAUAAGUAGACCGCCUGGGGAGUACGGCCGCAAGGUUA
rnacentral:rRNA from 1 species